rnacentral:misc_RNA from 1 species
CAACCCUCAAGCCUGGCUUGGUGAUGGGGCACUGCUUUUACCUAAAAGCAGGCCCUGAAAUUCAGUGGCGAGCUCGCCAGGACCCCGAGCGCAGUAGUUAAACCCUCGCUCUGGAAGGCCCUGGCGGUGCCCUGCCGUUAAACCCCCAACUUUUGAAA